AGCAGCCGCGGUAAUUCCAGCUCCAAUAGCGUAUAUUAAAGUUGUUGCAGUUAAAAAGCUCGUAGUUGAAUUUUGGGUCUGGCCGGGCGGUCCGCCCUCCGGGUGAGCACUGUUCCGACGCCGGGCCUAUCCUUCUGGUGAGUCGGCAUGUCCUUUGUUGGGUGUGUCGGGGAACCAGGACCAUUACCUUGAAAAAUUAGAGUGUUCAAAGCAGGCGUAUGCUCGGAUACAUUAGCAUGGAAUAAUGAAAUAGGACGCGUGGUGCUAUUUUGUUGGUUUCUAGAACCGCCGUAAUGAUUAAUAGGGAUAGUUGGGGGCAUUAGUAUUCAAUUGUCAGAGGUGAAAUUCUUGGAUUUAUUGAAGACUAACUUCUGCGAAAGCAUUUGCCAAGGAUGUUUUCAUUAAUCAAGAACGAAAGUUAGGGGAUCGAAGACGAUCAGAUACCGUCGUAGUCUUAACCAUAAACUAUGCCGACUAGGAAUCGGGCGAUGUUAUUCUCAUGACUCGCCCGGCGCCUU
rnacentral:rRNA from 1 species